GACGAACCACACAAACGUUAUUCGGAAUUACUGGGCUUAAAGGGUGCGUAGGCGGCGCAGAAAGUUGGGUGUGAAAUACCUCGGCUCAACCGAGGAACUGCGCCCAAAACUGCUGUGCUUGAGGAAGAUAGAGGUGAGCGGAACUUACGGUGGAGCGGUGAAAUGCGUUGAUAUCGUAAGGAACACCUGUGGCGAAAGCGGCUCACUGGGUCUUUUCUGACGCUGAUGCACGAAAGCUAGGGGAGCAAACGGG
rnacentral:rRNA from 1 species